GUGGGACCGGUGAUCGCUUUGGCUGGCAUCAGUUCUUUAACAUAAGGACGUAACAUCACCAUGUCGCACAAGGAAAAGAAAAAAAGCUAAAGGAUUCCUUGCUUCAAAAAGAAGAACGGAAUUUUUAGAGAGGACAUUUGCCUAUCCAUUUUUUAAAACUGGUUUGAUUUAAAAAUUUGAAGUAUGGCAAAGUAAUUAAAUUGACCAGCAUAUUUUCUUAUGGUUAUCGUCAAUAAACAUUUAUAUGAAGGAACAUCAGAAGAACUCCAGAUACAAUUAAAUUAUGAAAUUAUGGAACAUUGGUUGUAUUAGUCCUCAUUUGCUCCGGAAAAAGCAAUAAAGUGCCUUUUUCCAUUGGGAACGAAGUCAGUGUGCUGAAAAAUGGAUUUAUGACAAUGAACUGGUGUUUUUUAGGCACCGUUCGCCCAAUUAUUAAAAAGAAACAAAUUUGAAAAGAAGCAAUAUUGUACAAAAAAUGCAAAUGCAAUCACAAUAUGAUGAAGAGCUUCUCUAAAUAUGCCAUGCCUUCGACACCACAGGGAAUCUUCUAAUACUUUUGGAUUCGUGACCUAAGAGAAGUGGAGCCCCUUCAUUUCUCCCUCCCCUUGGACUUGAAAAUAUGUGCAGUUCAAUUACAGCUGCAUAUGUGAUGUUCUGUCUGUUUGCCUGCUAUGGGGCUCAUUUCACCAUGGGUGGUAUUAGUUUUCCUUUCAUAAGCAUCUGUUAUUAAAAGGCAUUUCUCUGUUGUCAACGCUUAGAUAUAAAACUGUAGCACCGUAAAGUAAUCCUCUAGAUUGUUGCAGAAAAUGAGAGAGAAUAAAGUUCAGUUUGGUCAUACUGAUACAACCAAUGUCUACAUGGGUGUGGUCUUUUGUAAAGUAUGCUGUUCUCGUCUUCACCUUGUAACAUUAUGCAGUCAAUUUUGAAGCGGCGAGUGAGAAUAACUGGGGAUUUAUUUGCAUUUCACUGGAACAAAUUGUCUGCUGUAAUAUUUCUUCUGGAUUUGUUUUACUUUUCACACCUGCAAACUUUGGAACCUUACAGUUCAUUAAGAUCGACGUUGGAGAAGACAAAGAUGAUCCCAU